UACGAAGGGGGCUAGCGUUGCUCGGAAUCACUGGGCGUAAAGCGCACGUAGGCGGAUUGCUAAGUCAGGGGUGAAAUCCUGGAGCUCAACUCCAGAACUGCCUUUGAUAACUGGCGACCUUGAGUCCGGGAGAGGUGAGUGGAACUGCGAGUGUAGAGGUGAAAUUCGUAGAUAUUCGCAAGAACACCAGUGGCGAAGGCGGCUCACUGGCCCGGUACUGACGCUGAGGUGGCGAAAGCGUGGGGAGCAACAGG
rnacentral:rRNA from 1 species